rnacentral:rRNA from 1 species
UACGUAGGAGGCGAGCGUUGUCCGGAGUUACUGGGCGUAAAGGGCGCGUAGGCGGUCGUGACAAGUCACCUGUGAAAUCUCCGGGCUUAACUCGGAACGGUCAAGUGAUACUGUUGGACUAGAGUACAGAAGGGGCAACUGGAAUUCUCGGUGUAGCGGUGAAAUGCGUAGAUAUCGAGAGGAACACCUGCGGCGAAGGCGGGUUGCUGGGCUGAUACUGACGCUGAGGCGCGAAAGCCAGGGGAGCGAACGGGG